UUCAGAGAAAACACAGAGUCUAAUUUUAAGGCGAUUGUGUCUUAUUGGUCUAAGUAGAUGGCGGAAGCACAUAGCUUCCUCUCUCUGUCUCCCUUUGAUUUUGUGCUUAUGCUCUACUGUCCAUUUGUGCAGUUGCUUUGUGAGCUAUGGCUACUACUUGUGCUGCUAGAUGUGUGUGUUGGUUCUGCUGCUGCUGGUUGCUUGUGUUGCUGUUAUGUGUUAUACUGCUACUACCUGCUGCUGGUUGCUUCUUUAUUUGGUUAAUUGUGACACCGAAAAGCCUUUGUGAAAAGCAAAAAUUGAAGAUAAGGCCAUGAGAUGAUGAGAUGACCUUCAUUUUCAAUUUUUUAUUCAAUAAUUGAUGAAGGAUAUGUCAUUUAUUCAGUUGCUAACAUUUUUUCUAUGGUGUAUGUACCUGUCGUUCAUUGCAUUUGAGGGAGAGGACAACAAGAGUAAGAGAGCCUUGGGAUGCGAAGGCAGUAGCACGCAGCGCCAUGUCAAGCGCACUGACCUCGGCGACAAGAGACCAGUACACUUAACAAGAGUAAGAGAGCCUUGGGACAACACUGGACGAGGGCGUCGACUAAAGGAGCGCGAAGACGUCUUCCUCCAAAAUCUUGCCGAGGGUUCUUAAAUAUAUGUUCACCAAUUCAGAUGAACCGCUUCUUUUAUGUGCAUACUGGAUAUUGUCAUAUAUGUAGAAGGUUAUACAAUAUAUCAAAGCAAAACAAAACAGAGAGGAGGCUGGGGCUCGGGCAAGGGAGGCUGCGCUCCACCUCUGCAUACACGGAUGGAUGGAUGAUGAGCGCAGAUUCAGGCGCUGCAGCUCACCUCAGAGAUGCAUGGCCUAAAGAGGCAAAUCAUGCGUUAUUUUUCUUUGCCUUCUGCUUCCUCCGGCACUCUGAUUUUGAUUGACUAAUAUAUGGGCUUUCUAAAAUGUGUAUCUGCAAAUCUGGGAAAGAAGAGAAGGGAAGAAGGGGAAUCUAGCGAACAAAGGAAAUAAGAUAUCAGGACAAGGCUAGGAGAGAAGUAUGGUGAAAAGCAUUUUUUGCUUUGUUAAUGUUGUACAGGCAGUGGGAGCGCCAUUGAAGACCAUGGGCGCAGCUUGGUCGAGCUACAAUGAGCGCAUCUGAUUCCAACACAUCAAGGUGAGCUUCACACAUAGUUCCCUCUUCUAUCUAUUUCAGGCAAUGAGGGAUCAGUAGACGCCUAAUCUUGUUGUGGCCUCCUCUCAUAAGAACUUCUACAUCAUUGUAUGAAAAAUAGCUUUUCUUUGUCCAUGUUAUUAUCUAGGGAUGCCAACACAGAGAUGUUAUUGAUGCAUGUGAGCUGCUUUAACUGAUUGUAUCUUAGAAAUACCCCACAAUUUUGAAAACCAUGUAA